GCAUACAACCACUGGUAGGAAUCUAAAUGUCUUGUCUGGGGUAAGAAGCUAAGCAAGGUUGGGCUGGGUUAUGAACUUGGAAGGGACAUCUCCAGGGAAUUCCAGGGCUGUAGGCU
rnacentral:rRNA from 1 species